GUUAAGAUGGUAGAGCCUGGUAAUUGUAUAAAACUUAAAAUUUACAAAUCAGAGGUUCAACUCCUCUUCUUAACA
rnacentral:tRNA from 1 species